rnacentral:lncRNA from 1 species
GCCUUGUGCCUCAGGGACUUAAAGCCUGGAUAAUUUGGUCAUGCUCAAUACAACAGAACCCCACUUUCCCAAGUUCACAUCUUAUAGGAAUUUGUUUAAAAAUAUAAACAAACGCCAUUUUCCCCUGAAUUAAAAAAGGGACAUGGUGAACAACUGGCAAGCAAAUUUAAGAAUAUUUGCCUUGCUGUUUGUUCUGAGUGUGUGCUACAAUAGAAUAUUAGUCUAAUUCGGGUGUGUACCUUCUGCAGCCCGGGAUAGCUAUGGGUGUGGCCAGACCCAAGUUGUGAACAUACUUAAAACAUGAUGAGAUACUUUGUGAUGUGUGUAAGUUGAUUGCACAGUUCUCAAGUGUGACCUUGGUAGAUGACAUCAUGUCACAGUGACAAAAGCUGAUAUGGAACUUGUUUCUGAGCAGGCCUGAUCGUGAGCACAUGCUAGGGUUUCCCUCUCCUGUCUCCCUGGCAGUGUCAUGGGGCAGCCGAAACAUUAGACCCUAAGGACUGCAUGUCACGUCUACUCUAGUGCAUAGGCACACGAAAGUACAGCCUAGUUAGUAAGUACAGAGCUAAGGAAGAAGUUACCGUCACUAACCCCCUAAUUGUACCUCACCUACAGUAGCCUGAUAAUAAACAUUGAAGCAUUUGUCCAUGCUUGAAGGGUUUCUGUGCUCCAUAAAGUCACAUCUGCUCUCCAAAGGGAAACUGUCACACACUGCUUCUGAGUCCCCAACCUUCUGUUGCUGCAUCUUGUGGUGUGAACAUUGAAGUUUGUUUUCAAGUGCACUCGUUUACUUUUGAGGUUGACUAAUGAUGAUUAUAAGAUGAAAAGACUGUCGUCUGGUGAAGUAUCACGUGAAACUGGCUUUUCUUCAUUCUCCUUUGUGCUUGGAAUGAUUGAUGGAAAUACUUUCUUUAUACUGUAUUACUGGUUGAAAACUGAUUUUACUGUGUCUUUUCUAAGGCUGCUGCAUUUUUUUAUAAUCAUUUUUGUUCUGUCCUCUGCCUUGAUUUGCUAUAGAAUGUCUUUCAAUCUUCCCUGGCCAGACAGAUCAUGUACAGAGCGGUAAGCCAAUGAGUGGGGCAACUCGCCUGAGCCGCCCAUCCCCCAGCAUGCCUUGUGCGGUCUGUGAGCCUCGCUUGUGCUGACUUGGCUAGACUUGGAUGCUGUUGCUUGGGAGCUUCCCUCUUGUCAGUCUGCUCAUGGGAGUGUACCGUGCUGACGUCAUGCUUCCCGUUUCGUCUUGCCUGAGUUUUCUCCCUUGCAUGCUCCUAUUGCCUUGUUCCUCAGAUGGCAAUCAAACGUGCUCAAACCCAAGGACUUUAUAAAUUCUGCAGGCUUUAUUCUGAAACAGUGAGGGGUGAAGUGUCCACCGAGUCGGGAGUCAGUGGAGCCUGAGUGUUCUAAUAAUUGACCGGUCUCCUGGCCUUAUGGAAAAUGACAGAAUUGAAGUCCAGAAACAGUUCAUGGUCAGAACCUGAUGCUGGAGUUAAACCAAGGGCCGGAAGCUUGUUCUUUAUCAGUGAGCUGCAUCGCCAGCAUCCAAAUUUUAACAUGGACUUUAUGGAAAUUUAUAAAUUUUGAGAGUUUUCUUAUUAAGAUGUAUGCAUUGACGUUGAUGAGUUAACGUGUGUAAAUCUGAAAGAGCUUUAGUUCUAGGUUCUGCAUUUGGAUUUUCCAUGAAGGAGAUCAUGGGAGACAUGGUCUCUACUGUCCUGUCCAUUUCCUUCUCUGUCCCCAGUAAGGAUGCUACAGAGAUUUGAUUUAAGGGCCGAGUUUUCAAAUUAGGCUAAGCCCGUGAGCCCUGCGAACUUAAUAACCACAUGCAGUGUUACAGUUUAUAUUCUUGCAGGAAUUUUCUUCACCUUAAAUUGAGAUAUUAAUAUGGCAAUAAUUGAAUAUUUACCAAAGAGCAUGCAGUUGGUAAGGUGGCUGAGCAAAUAAAGACGCUUGUUGCUGAGCCUGACUGCUGGAAUUUGGUCCCUGGGCCCACAUGGUAGAAGGAGGGAAGCAGCUGCCAGCGCUUGUCCUCUGACCUCCACAUACACUCCAUGGCUCAUGUGCAAGUCUGUGUACACCCAGCAAAUGAUGAGAGAGAAUUUUUAAAGAGUCUGGUCAUACUUUGAAUAGAAAUUCAGCCAUGUGGGUUAAUUAUGGGUUUACUUUUUCAUCAUUCCAUCAUUUCCAGUGAUAGGAAAUAGCAUUUUUAAAGUACAGUUGAGUAACUUGAUUUUUUUUUUUACUGUUCCUACACAAGGCAAUUAUAAGACAACUAUUUAAUUUUACCUUAGUCUGUUUUAAAGACACUUGUUCUUUUUGAGAAUUAUAAGCUUCUGUGAGUCAUCCUUUUUUAGGAAUGUUGAGUUCACGUCUGGGAAGUUUAGUUAUGUUUUUCUCUCAAGUUCUUAACUUUCUCUUUAGUUUUCUGUGGUCCACAUAUAGGUCUAUUGUUUUGAAAGUGUAAUUGAAGUAGCACUUUUGAAAGAAUCAAGUUAUUUCUGAGUGUGGCAAGUUAAAACUUGUCCAAACUAUUUCUGUAGCUGUUUGUGCAAAUAUCAAUAUACAGCCUUUUAAAAAUAGUCCAAACUAAC